GACCAUGCAGUCGAACGGUGAAGCCCAGCUUGCUGGGUGGAUCAGUGGCGAACGGGUGAGUAACACGUGAGCAAUCUGCCCCUGACUCUGGGAUAAGCGCUGGAAACGGCGUCUAAUACUGGAUACGAGCUGCGAUCGCAUGGUCAGUAGCUGGAAAGAUUUUUUGGUCAGGGAUGAGCUCGCGGCCUAUCAGCUUGUUGGUGAGGUAAUGGCUCACCAAGGCGUCGACGGGUAGCCGGCCUGAGAGGGUGACCGGCCACACUGGGACUGAGACACGGCCCAGACUCCUACGGGAGGCAGCAGUGGGGAAUAUUGCACAAUGGGCGCAAGCCUGAUGCAGCAACGCCGCGUGAGGGAUGACGGCCUUCGGGUUGUAAACCUCUUUUAGCAGGGAAGAAGCGAAAGUGACGGUACCUGCAGAAAAAGCGCCGGCUAACUACGUGCCAGCAGCCGCGGUAAUACGUAGGGCGCAAGCGUUAUCCGGAAUUAUUGGGCGUAAAGAGCUCGUAGGCGGUUUGUCGCGUCUGCUGUGAAAUCCCGAGGCUCAACCUCGGGUCUGCAGUGGGUACGGGCAGACUAGAGUGCGGUAGGGGAGAUUGGAAUUCCUGGUGUAGCGGUGGAAUGCGCAGAUAUCAGGAGGAACACCGAUGGCGAAGGCAGAUCUCUGGGCCGUAACUGACGCUGAGGAGCGAAAGGGUGGGGAGCAAACAGGCUUAGAUACCCUGGUAGUCCACCCCGUAAACGUUGGGAACUAGUUGUGGGGUCCAUUCCACGGAUUCCGUGACGCAGCUAACGCAUUAAGUUCCCCGCCUGGGGAGUACGGCCGCAAGGCUAAAACUCAAAGGAAUUGACGGGGACCCGCACAAGCGGCGGAGCAUGCGGAUUAAUUCGAUGCAACGCGAAGAACCUUACCAACGCUUGACAUACACCAGAACACCGUAGAAAUACGGGACUCUUUGGACACUGGUGAACAGUGGUGCAUGGUUGUCGUCAGCUCGUG
rnacentral:rRNA from 1 species